rnacentral:rRNA from 1 species
UACGGAGGGUGCAAGCGUUGUUCGGAAUCAUUGGGCGUAAAGCGCGUGUAGGCGGCUUGGUAAGUCGGGAGUGAAAUCCCGGGGCCCAACCCCGGAACUGCAUUCGAAACUGCCUGGCUAGAGUCCCGGAGAGGAAGGCGGAAUUCCCGGUGUAGAGGUGAAAUUCGUAGAUAUCGGGAGGAACACCAGCGGCGAAGGCGGCCCUCUGGACGGUGGCUGACGCUGAGACGCUAAAGCGUGGGGAGCAAUCAGG